rnacentral:rRNA from 1 species
UGGUAGUCCAUGCCGUAAACGUUGGGCACUAGGUGUGGGGGACAUUCCACGUUUUCCGCGCCGUAGCUAACGCAUUAAGUGCCCCGCCUGGGGAGUACGGCCGCAAGGCUAAAACUCAAAGAAAUUGACGGGGGCCCGCACAAGCGGCGGAGCAUGCGGAUUAAUUCGAUGCAACGCGAAGAACCUUACCAAGGCUUGACAUGAACCGGAAAGGCGUAGAAAUACGUCCCCCACUUGUGGUCGGUUUACAGGUGGUGCAUGGUUGUCGUCAGCUCGUGUCGUGAGAUGUUGGGUUAAGUCCCGCAACGAGCGCAACCCUCGUUCUAUGUUGCCAGCACGUGAUGGUGGGGACUCAUAGGAGACUGCCGGGGUCAACUCGGAGGAAGGUGGGGAUGACGUCAAAUCAUCAUGCCCCUUAUGUCUUGGGCUUCACGCAUGCUACAAUGGCCGGUACAAAGGGUUGCGAUACUGUGAGGUGGAGCUAAUCCCAAAAAGCCGGUCUCAGUUCGGAUUGGGGUCUGCAACUCGACCCCAUGAAGUAGGAGUCGCUAGUAAUCGCAGAUCAGCAACGAUGCGGUGAAUACGUUCCCGGGCCUUGUACACACCGCCCGUCAAGUCACGAAAGUUGGUAACACCCGAAGCCGGUGGCCUAACCCC